UAAACCACGUGGCUGGUCUUUCACUUCCAUACUAAGCUAGAGAAAAGAAGAAAUUGUGCAGUCAGUUUUGAAGCUCUGAGCAAGUGGUCAAACUAUUUGUCUGUAUUGGUUGAGGCUGAAGACAGGAGUCCAUGGACAGGGACUACUGAGGAACCUUCAUCAAGAACAAGUCUCGUGCAUGGACAAAGAUGAUGUGUACAGUUUUGGAGUGCUUGCUUGUGAAGUGGUGAAUGCCAGAUUUCCUGAAGCUGCUGUAUUUCUUGGUCUGCUAUCGAGUAUGGAAGGUGUAUGGCGGGAGCUCCACCCACUCAUCACCUCAGGACAGACCCUCCAUGGACACUGUGUUACACCACAUCAAACAAUUGGACUCUGAGUCUUAGUAUUGGUGCAUGAGUGUGUUAUUAUUAAUUUGUGUAAAGAAUAUAUAAUUA